UCAAAGACAAACGAUCCAUUAUAAUUUCAAGAUUGUACUGAAAUGGAAAGAGAAUGCUUGGGCUAAAUCAUCCCAUGUAUAACACCGAGCAUGAUCCUGUCGGGUGUACCAUUCCAAUGCUGAACCACUCAAACUUUGACUGAAGUAUGCCAUUAGCAAUUCAUCCUUUCCACAUGCCCCUCUCAUCUUGCUGCAGAAACCUCUUAAGUGUGCCACUGGAUCACCAUGUCCUUUGUAUAAGUCAAACGUGGGCAUCUUAAUGCCUGGAGGGGAACAAACAAAGUUCUUUGUAUGCUACACUCACUUGCCCUCCCAACCCACGCAUAUCUCUGAACGAUUUCUCUAAACUUUUGACUUUCCUGAGCACCUUCUCUUGCUCGAGGUUUUUGGAUGGUUUUUCAGCCUCAACACGGAUUUCAAAAUGGGGAGCGUAAGUGGGAUUUGAAGGUGGGCUAUGGUGGGUAACAAUGAUUAUCAUGAGCUUGGAGCAAAGGCUCACUGGAUGAUCUGUGAAGUGUGGCAAGAGGAGGUGCCACAAAGAUGGGAACAACUGGAGGAAGAGGGUGAGGAAUAGCUUUGAGUGGUAGAGCUGGGGGUGCUUGAGAAGUUGUACCCUAGUAUUGUGGGUAGAUGGGGAAGCUUGGGGGUAGAUCAGUAGUAGGUGGUCAUGUGAC
rnacentral:lncRNA from 1 species